AACGAACGCUGGCGGCAUGCCUAACACAUGCAAGUCGAACGAGACCUUCGGGUCUAGUGGCGCACGGGUGCGUAACGCGUGGGAACCUGCCCUUAGGUUCGGAAUAACUCCCCGAAAGGGGUGCUAAUACCGGAUAAUGUCUUCGGACCAAAGAUUUAUCGCCUUUGGAUGGGCCCGCGUUGUAUUAGCUAGUUGGUAGGGUAAAAGCCUACCAAGGCGACGAUCCAUAGCUGGUCGGAGAGGAUGAUCAGCCACACUGGGACUGAGACACGUCCCGGACUCCGACGGGAGGCAGCAGUGGUGAAUAUUGGACAAUGGGCGAAAGCCUGAUCCAGCAAUGCCGCGUGAGUGAUGAAGGCCUUAGGGUUGUAAAGCUCUUUUACCCGGGAUGAUAAUGACAGUACCGGGAGAAUAAGCCCCGGCUAACUCCGU
rnacentral:rRNA from 1 species